GACGAACGCUGGCGGCGUGCUUAACACAUGCAAGUCGAACGGAAAGGCCUGUCCUUCCUUGUGUUGGACGGGUACUCGAGUGGCGAACGGGUGAGUAACACGUGAGUGAUCUGCCCCCAACUUGGGUAUAAGCCUGGGAAACUGGGUCUAAUUCCCGAUAGGACUGCAGGGUGGUGCCUGUGGUGGAAAACGAUUUUCUAGUGGUUGGGGAUGAGCUCGCGGCCUAUCAGCUUGUUGGUGGGGUAAUGGCCUACCAAGGCGGCGACGGGUAGCCGGCCUGAGAGGGUGGACGGCCCCAUUGGGACUGAGAUACGGCCCAGACUCCUACGGGCGGCAGCAGUGGGGAAUAUUGCACAAUGGGCGGAAGCCUGAUGCAGCGACGCCGCGUGGGGGAUGACGGCCUUCGGGUUGUAAACUCCUUUCGACCGCGAGGAAGCCGCCUGGUUGGAAGGGUGGUGACGGUAGUGGUAGAAGAAGCACCGGCUAACUACGUG
rnacentral:rRNA from 1 species